rnacentral:rRNA from 1 species
GCCGUGGUGUUCAGAUUGGUGAGGAGCGUUCUAGCGGAAAAAAAGAGUCCUUCUUUCUUUUGCUCGAGCGUUCAUUAAGGCUUGCUUUCCUCACCUACUGUGCGAUGGUUUGUGCUUCGUAGUGACUACCGGGGAUUAGUGACUCCACCAUCACAUGGAGCUCAGUCUAACACGGUGCACCCUUUUUAUCUGUAGAUUAGACCGGCACAAAAAAAAAGACUGCCCAUAGAUCGGCACGAAUAGUGAAACACUUAGUGGCUGAUUUAACGCGCGUGCCCUGUUUCAAUGGCACUUGCUUAAAAUGAGAAAAAAACGACAACUCUUUUGGUUAUGCAUGGAAACCGCAUCACUGUAAAGGUGCGCCGCAGCGGACGCCUCAGGACUUCGAAGAGCUGGGCGGCCGGGGUGGAGAGACGGAGCGUCCAUGAAGUCGGCUUUUGGAGCCUUGUAAAUAGGUAGAACUAACUAAAGAAGCUAGCGGUGGCGGGUCAACUUAAGAGGCAGUCAAAGAGGGCAGAGGCGGCGCGAACGGGGGCGGGCUUAGACAGCCGUUGAAAAGGGCAGCAAGAUGUCCACCACCGUUCCAAAGAGCGCUGAUCUUUAAGCGCUGUGUUACCCGUCCGCGUUGUCGACGUGGUAAAUACAUCCGUUAGAGGGACCCCUGUAAGCACUCUCCCUCCAACUCCUAGAGAAAAUGUUCAUACCGGCAUAACAGCUAUAACUGAACUUCUAAGGAGGUUCCGGAGGACCAAUGCGAAAACAACUCAAACUCCUAGGGGCACUACGACUACUACGUUAAAUACCGGCACUACCCAUACUGAAACUGCCGAUGUCCGACGCCCACCUUAAUCGAGUACCACCUUCUCGAGUUAGAAUGAGCAUACUAGCGGGUUCGUCGAAAUCGUUACCUGCGGCACCUCCACAAAGAUCCGCGAGACUCAAGGCUCAAUACCAACUACCAAAUGGAAGCAGUCGCAGUACCGUUCUAGAGUUCCUGGUAUACGCUGCCCGACCGCUACAGACAAAAAGACUACAUAUGGCGCUCCCGCCUCGUUGGCAACCUCAACAUCUAAUAUGUUUGAUGCUACUGUACUUUAUACGCUAAUCCUUCGAGCUACUAUGUCUCAAGUCUUUACGUAAAAGUUCCCGUAUAUAGUCCCACUCCGUCAUACUACGAUCUAGUUCUUCGUCCUCGGCAUCGGAGAGAAUGAGUUCUUCAGCGUCGAUAUCGUCUAGACAGAGAGCUAGUGGGAAUGGACACCUACUUUCCAGUGGCAGUUCUAGAGCCAGAGGACAAAGAAGCCAAAGACCUUUUAGGCACUCGUCUUCGGGAGCCUCGUCCUCGAAUAGGGCGAGACGUAGAGGACGCUCCAGCCUAACUAGAACCCGUGUGGACCUUCGUCGCUCAACUGAUGAAGUCCUAGCGUCAUAAGCAGCAUCUAAAUCUCAACAUAUAAGUCUCCUCUGGACAUGGAAAAGAACUUACUGAACCUCUAACUAGACGUCAAACACCAUUGAACUUAAGUCUCCUCUGUACGUGAAACAC